GGGGCUGAUUCUGGAUUCGACGGGAUUUGCGAAACCCAAGGUGCAUGCCGAGGGGCGGUUGGCCUCGUAAAAAGCCGCAAAAAAUAGUCGCAAACGACGAAAACUACGCUUUAGCAGCUUAAUAACCUGCUUAGAGCCCUCUCUCCCUAGCCUCCGCUCUUAGGACGGGGAUCAAGAGAGGUCAAACCCAAAAGAGAUCGCGUGGAAGCCCUGCCUGGGGUUGAAGCGUUAAAACUUAAUGAUAACGCCAUUGAGGCUGGUCAUGGCGCUCAUAAAUCUGGUAUACUUACCUUUACACAUUGGGGCUGAUUCUGGAUUCGACGGGAUUUGCGAAACCCA
rnacentral:tmRNA from 1 species